ACAGGAGUGCUGCUCAGGGCACAUCCAGUAGCCAGUGGGUGUUCUGGGGAUACUAAGCCCGAGCUGCACGAAUAUCUAGUGUCCCACUGCAUAAGAGCUGCAUGACCCAGGGACGGUGGUGUCACAGCAUUGAGAAGGUGCCAUUGAGAUGAAAAUACAAAUGAAAAAGCAAAGUCAUAUCCAAACGACAUUUGACUUAUCAAACAUUAAAACAACUAAAAUAGAUCAUUAGAGCAUCAGAAGAGUCAAAUUCAAAAACAGAAUGCAGAAAUCUCAGAGCAUGAUGACAGACCACCUGAAACAUCUAAGGGUUAAUUACAAGACCCUGAAGAAAAGAUUAGUAUUCACAUAAGUCACAAGACACGAUACACUUGUUUGAUAAAUGUAUAGCUUCAGACGCUCCUUAAAAUCAUACCUAUUCAGAGCGGCUUACCAUCUCUCCUCCAUCUCUUAUCCUAACCAAAAUAAUUCUUGAACUGCCUGACUCACUGCUGCAACUACAACCGAUGUGACAAGCUGCCCCUAACCUUAUGUCUCUGCACCCUAAACCUGCAGACUGUGAGCUCUCCGCCUGUACCAGAUUUGUUUAGUUUUGUUAUGUUUUGUAUUUUUUUUAAAUCCUUGACAUUGAAUAUCCCUAUCAUUGUACCCAGCGCUACGGAAUUUUGCGACGCUAUACAAAUAAAUUGUAACAAUAAUAAUAAUGUAA